ensembl:lncRNA
GCCCCUUACACUCAUGACGUGAGCGAACCGGAGUCACAGCAGCAAGGCAGGCGACGGGCGUGACGCGAACUGCUACCGCAGGAUGAUGCCGAUCCCGGGGCCUGCGGGGCGCGGUCACCGCCCCCUGUCCCGGGCUCUGAGGUCAUCGGGGAGCAUCCCAGGGACAAAGAGCAGUGUGAGUCCCGCCUGUGUCCCCCACCUCCCGCUCCCUCAUCCGUCUGUGACGCUGGCCAGGGCCAUCCCGCUGCGCCUCUGCGGACCUGCCCUGGGGUUUCUGUUCCACAGCAGGGGAGCGCGCUCAGGGGCCAGAGGAACGGCCAGCUCCCUUCCCAGACAGCGGGGCUGGCCAAGCUCAUCCCGGAGACGUCCCAGAGCGCAGAACCCAGCAGGAGACAGCGCUGGCUGGGACCAUCCCUCGGGCCUGGAAACCGAGGCUCAGGACCGCCGCAGCUCUGCAGGGCCAGGACGGCACGCAGCGCUGCCGGGGCCUCCCGGGCCUCCACUCAGCACCCUACCCCGGCUGAAUCUGAGACUGGGAGAGCUUCCCCACCCACACGCCAUCCCAGAGGAAGAGCAAACACAGCCCGUGGAAAAUGAAGCCCUGUUCUGUGGGUCACAAAGGCAAACCCCCAGAAGAGAAGCCAACACGGAAGGCAGCAGGAUCGAGUCCCUAAAUCUCAAGCUCGCAGCGUGCAUGCUGUCCAGUGCUCCCGCUUGGAAAGUCAGAGAGGAAAGGGAAGGAGGAGACCAUGGACAGAAGGGCAGAGAGCCCGAGGUGUUCUGCACCACGUGACCUGGGCACAGGGACACUCACAGCAAAGUCUCCGGCUCACCCGUAUCUGAGCUUCAAAUCCCUCCAGGAAAAUUUCAGGAACAGAGGGAUCAAACCCAUGCGAGAUGUGUUGUGUUCAGGUACCAGCUCCACACAGGAAUGUGAACAUCGUGUACACAGUACACAGUACUCACACUAGAAUUCACACAGGAGUCACACCAGUAUUUACACUAGAAUUCACACGGGUUCACACUAGAAUUCACACUAGGAGUCACACUAGAAUUCACACAGGACUCACAUGAGAUUUCACACAGGAGUCACACUAGAAUUCACAAAUUCACACUAGAUUUCACAGGAAUUCACACUAGAAUUCACACAAGAUUCACACUAGGAUUCACACCGGAGUCACACUAGGAUUCACAGAGUCACUAGCAUUCACACAGGAGUCACACUCAAAUUCACACAGAUUCACAUGGGUUCACACUCUGAGUCACACUAGAAUUCACAGGGAUUCACACUAGAAAGCAGUUUGGCAGUGACACUUGCAUCCGAUCACACCCACGCCCUAUGAUUCUAUCCCAAGCAAGUCUACUCCUAGACACACAUCUUACAAAAGUGCUUUCAAAUGUGCACCAAAUACUUGUACAAUAAUUGGCAAAAGAGCAUUUUUCAUGACAACCCCACUUUGGAAACAACCUGCAUGUCUCUGAGCAGCACAAUGCUCCCAAUGCACAGCCUGAAGUGGACUUUGUAUAUCAUCUUCACGCUCUGUGGCUGAACCCCCGCUACAGGCAACGCCGUGAGCAAUCGCUUUGGGCGAUAUUAGGGUCUGAACCCAGGGCCCCUACACCGAGCUACAUCCACAGCCCCUUUCUUAAAGGUUUAAAAUUUUUGCAUUAUUAGUUCAUGUUUGCAAUUCAUGCAGCUUGUAAUCACCUUGGGGAACGAUCACAUGUGCGUAUUACAGCUUGUUUUCCCCUACAUCCCUUUUUCAUUUUUUAUUUUGAACCAAGGUCUCUCCAAGCUGCCCAGGCUGGCUUGAUCUUGAGACCUUCCUGCCUUAACCCCCCAGAGCUGGGGCUGCAGGUGUGCACCAUGAGCGAAGUUUGGAGGUGUGCUACUGAGUAAAUUGUGCCCAGCAGAAAGAGUACACGGGAAGCAGAGCCUGUGGCCCUAUUUGGUUAGAGGUCCAUGCGGAUGAAACUGGGAUAAGAUGCUGA